rnacentral:miRNA from 1 species
AAAUGCCUCCAUGAGAUCCAGCUGUAAGGCAUUUUCUCAAUUAGUGAUCAGAAAGGAAAAGCUCAGCCCAUUGUGGGUGGUACCAUACCUGGGCUUGGUGGCUCUGG